ACGAACGCUGGCGGCGCGCCUAACACAUGCAAGUCGAGCGAUGAAAUUUUAACCGAUCUCUUCGGAGAGAAGAUAAAAUGGAUUAGCGGCGGACGGGUGAGUAACACGUGAGAAACCUGCCUUUCACAAGGGGAUAGCCUCGGGAAACCGGGAUUAAUACCCUAUGACACAUUUCCUUCGCAUGGAAGAAAUGUUAAAACUCCGGUGGUGAAAGAUGGUCUCGCGCCUGAUUAGCUAGUUGGUGGGGUAACGGCCCACCAAGGCCAUGAUCAGUAACCGGCCUGAGAGGGUGAACGGUCACAUUGGAACUGAGACACGGUCCAAACUCCUACGGGAGGCAGCAGUGGGGAAUAUUGCACAAUGGAGGAAACUCUGAUGCAGCGACGCCGCGUGAGCGAUGAAGGCUUUCGAGUCGUAAAGCUCUGUCCUAUGGGAAGAUAAUGACGGUACCAUAGGAGGAAGCCCCGGCUAACUACGUG
rnacentral:rRNA from 1 species